GGUGACGCCAUGAGUAACCCUCUUUACAUUCAUGUGUGACGCGAUGGUUUGCCAUCUAUAUCUAUAGUUUUUUGUGGGAGCUACAAUGGUGUGAUGGGUGGCGGAGAAACUGGAAGAGAAAUUGAUAGUGGUGGCGGACGGCAGUGUUGGCUGUGCUUUGUGAACGGAGUCAUCGUUUUGUUCAUCAGCAUCAUCAUCAUCACCGUCUAUAUGUGUGCAUGUGUGUGAAUAUUUGGGUUGUAUAUGUAUGUUUCGUGCUUUUUGGAAAGGAGGUAGAUAGAUUGUGGAGAUUGAAGCAAAGUAUGGUCAUGACCAAUGUUUAACACGUCAUGAGAUAUUUAUGUAAGCUGCUUCUUUAGGCUAUUUAGAAAUUGAGCUAUUUAUGUAAGCUAUAUCUUUGUAUUUUGCUACUGCUAAACUUCAUUGAUGAUAUUGAUAUUCAAGAUUUGGAAGGUA